UACGGGGGGGGCAAGCGUUGUUCGGAAUUACUGGGCGUAAAGGGCUCGUAGGCGGCCUUCUAAGUCAGACGUGAAAUCCCCCGGCUUAACCUGGGAACUGCGUCUGAUACUGGGAGGCUAGAGUAUGGGAGAGGGAUGUAGAAUUCCAGGUGUAGCGGUGAAAUGCGUAGAUAUCUGGAGGAACACCGGUGGCGAAGGCGGCAUCCUGGACCGGUAUUGACGCUGAGGAGCGAAAGCCAGGGGAGCAAACGGG
rnacentral:rRNA from 1 species